AAUAUUGCACAAUGGGGGAAACCCUGAUGCAGCGACGCCGCGUGCGGGAUGACGGCCUUCGGGUUGUAAACCGCUUUCAGCAGGGACGAAUUUGACGGUACCUGCAGAAGAAGCGCCGGCUAACUACGUGCCAGCAGCCGCGGUAAUACGUAGGGCGCAAGCGUUGUCCGGAAUUAUUGGGCGUAAAGAGCUCGUAGGCGGCUCGUCGCGUCGGGUGUGAAAGCUUGGGGCUUAACCCCAAGUCUGCAUCCGAUACGGGCAGGCUAGAGGCAGGUAGGGGAGAACGGAAUUCCCGGUGUAGCGGUGAAAUGCGCAGAUAUCGGGAGGAACACCGGUGGCGAAGGCGGUUCUCUGGGCCUGUACUGACGCUGAGGAGCGAAAGCAUGGGGAGCGAA
rnacentral:rRNA from 1 species